ACCCUGGCUCAGUAAGUCGUAACAAGGUAGUCGUUGUGUUUUGAAUCCUGGCUCAGAUUGAACGCUGGCGGCAUGCCUUACACAUGCAAGUCGAACGGCAGCACGGACUUCGGUCUGGUGGCGAGUGGCGAACGGGUGAGUAAUAUAUCGGAACAUACCCUAGAGUGGGGGAUAACGUAGCGAAAGUUACGCUAAUACCGCAUACGAACUAAGGUUGAAAGUGGGGGAUCGCAAGACCUCAUGCUCAUGGAGUGGCCGAUAUCUGAUUAGCUAGUUGGUGAGGUAAAGGCUCACCAAGGCGACGAUCAGUAGCUGGUCUGAGAGGACGACCAGCCACACUGGAACUGAGACACGGUCCAGACUCCUACGGGAGGCAGCAGUGGGGAAUUUUGGACAAUGGGGGCAACCCUGAUCCAGCAAUGCCGCGUGAGUGAAGAAGGCCUUCGGGUUGUAAAGCUCUUUUGUCAGGGAAGAAACGGUGAUCUCUAAUAUAGAUUGCUAAUGACGGUACCGAAG
rnacentral:rRNA from 1 species